ensembl:lncRNA
CACUGAGAUACCAAGGCGCUGAUACUUCAAGGAACAUACAACAUUUUCAGCACCAAAAAUUGAUAGAACAGAGUAGCAGUCUCACUGCAGUAAAUAUCUCAUGCCUUGAUCCUACACAGAAAUUCACAGAUGAAAAAUUCAAUGAGAUUCUGACAGGCACAUGCAUCCAUUUGUACAAGGAUGAUGGUACAAUCAGAUCCUUAAAUGGUAAUUAUGAAUGUUAUUUUUGCUUUAAGGGACCUGAGAUUCAAAAUGUAUCUGUAGCACAAACAACCAAUAGCCCAACAAUAUAUAUAGUAUCUACACAGUAUUAAUAACACAUCUAAUACUUUUCUUUAUUGUUGUUCCUUACAUACACUGAGUGAAAUUCUG